rnacentral:lncRNA from 1 species
GAACGUGAGGGAGAAGCCCCAACCCUCAUUAAUGGAAAAACGGGCGUGCGAGGAGCAAUUUUAAUUCGGCCGGGAAUUAAAAUUUAAUUUAAUUUUAAUGCCAGGAAGUCCCAACCGUCCCUCCUCAAGUCCGCCACGCCAACCCUAUACAGUUCCAAACCGCCACCCCCACCCCAAUGCUUAGAGGGCUCAAAAAUGAUUUUCUUUGUAGGAUCUGAUAAGAUAUCAGGAUGGCAACUUUCAAAUACAGUAAAAAGUGUUUUGUUAUUUGCUGUUGAUGGGUUCAAUACAGCCUGCUUUCUGAAGUGUAAUUUAAUUUUUCUUUUAUCCGCCCCUACUGCCAUCUGCUUUUAUCCUCAUACCUCACCCAGAGUUUGUUCCAUGGGCACAGGUUUCUUUGAGACGGACCGUGUUAAAGCCUGUAUCCAGUCAGGAUGUGUGGCAGUUCAGAUGGGUAUUUUCCAUUCACCCGCCCCUGCCGCCAGCCCUCACCCUGAGCUCAGCCCCUCCUGCCCACUGCUCAGACAGCUUCCUUCACCACACCCAGGGCCCUGGGGCACGGAGCAGAGAGUCACAACUGACUCACUUGCUGCCUUCUCACCAAGCGCACACAGGACCUGGAGAGUAAAAGAAAUAAAGGAAAAAGUUCUUUCCCUUUACUCUCCAGGUGGCACUACCCCAACCCUCAAAUAUGGUACUUGUGGGGACUCUCACCUUCCUGCAGCCCCUCUGAGGACUCCCAAUUUCGAACACAUGGUUCUAGAAAAACCCUCUCUUCCCGCUCUCCAGGUUGCUCAUUGUUCUGUGGCCCAUCACAUCCAGUUCACUUGCGCUCCCCUUGCAAUCACAGAAUGUUAGCUAAACAAGGGCUCUUAGUGUUCACCUACAUAGCUCACCUCUCAUUUUACAGAUGGAAAGAGUUGGGUGGUUACCUAAGCGACUUGCCUAAGGUCAGGCAGCUGGUGAUUGGCAGAGUAGAAAUCAUAAUUUGGGUCACUAGAUGCUAUUUAGGGUGUGGUAGAGCAGCAGGAUGGCCGAAACAGGAGUCAUGUCCUCCAAUGCUGGCC